rnacentral:lncRNA from 1 species
GGGACCCCAUGACUUAAAACAUCUUUUUGUUGCUUCAUUGACCUAUUUGCAAUUAAUAAAACACUCUAAACUCUCUCAAAAUUUCUCAAGGCUCUUGGGUUAAGAAAAAGUUAGGGUUUCCUUCAAGGUAGUCAAUUGAGGCUUAUAGGAGUGAUUUCUUCACAUCUUCUUCUUAAUUAAUGGCAUGUUACUCCUCCUUCAUUGUUAAUUCCAACUAGAGACAUGUUUUAUGAAUUGUUUUAUGGC